CACUUCGGGUUGCAAAUCUGGUUGAGUAUCUAGUAGGGCCCUUGGGUUCUGGUUUGAAAGAUAGCAAUAGUUAUGUGAGAAUGGUUGCUGUUACGGGGGUUUUGAAACUAUAUCGUAUAUCUGCUUCAACAUGCACUGAUGCUGAUUUUCUGGCCACACUGAAGCAUUUGAUGCUUAAUGAUCGAGAUACUCAGGUAGUUGCAAAUUGUUUAUCUGCUCUACAAGAG
rnacentral:misc_RNA from 1 species